rnacentral:rRNA from 1 species
AUGAACGCUAGCGGCAGGCCUAACACAUGCAAGUCGAGGGGUAACAGAGAGAAGCUUGCUUCUUUGCUGACGACCGGCGCACGGGUGCGUAACGCGUAUACAAUCUACCUUUUGCUGAGGGAUAGCCCAGAGAAAUUUGGAUUAAUACCUCAUAGUAUAUAUGAAUCGCAUGGUUUAUAUAUUAAAGGUUACGGCAGAAGAUGAGUAUGCGUUCUAUUAGCUAGAUGGUGUGGUAACGGCACACCAUGGCAACGAUAGAUAGGGGCCCUGAGAGGGGGAUCCCCCACACUGGUACUGAGACACGGACCAGACUCCUACGGGAGGCAGCAGUGAGGAAUAUUGGACAAUGGGCGAGAGCCUGAUCCAGCCAUGCCGCGUGCAGGAAGACUGCCCUAUGGGUUGUAAACUGCUUUUAUACAGGAAGAAACACUCCCUCGUGAGGGAGCUUGACGGUACUGUAAGAAUAAGGAUCGGCUAACUCCGUGCCAGCAGCCGCGGUAAUACGGAGGAUCCAAGCGUUAUCCGGAAUCAUUGGGUUUAAAGGGUCCGUAGGUGGAUAAUUAAGUCAGGGGUGAAAGUCUGCAGCUCAACUGUAGAAUUGCCUUUGAUACUGGUUAUCUUGAAUUAUUAUGAAGUAGUUAGAAUAUGUAGUGUAGCGGUGAAAUGCAUAGAUAUUACAUAGAAUACCAAUUGCGAAGGCAGAUUACUAAUAAUAUAUUGACACUGAUGGACGAAAGCGUGGGGAGCGAACAGGAUUAGAUACCCUGGUAGUCCACGCCGUAAACGAUGGAUACUAGCUGUUCGGAUUUAUCUGAGUGGCUAAGCGAAAGUGAUAA